rnacentral:rRNA from 1 species
UGCUGGGUGGAUCAGUGGCGAACGGGUGAGUAACACGUGAGCAACCUGCCCCUGACUCUGGGAUAAGCGCUGGAAACGGCGUCUAAUACUGGAUAUGUACCACGAUCGCAUGGUCUGUGGUUGGAAAGAUUUUUCGGUUGGGGAUGGGCUCGCGGCCUAUCAGCUUGUUGGUGAGGUAAUGGCUCACCAAGGCGUCGACGGGUAGCCGGCCUGAGAGGGUGACCGGCCACACUGGGACUGAGACACGGCCCAGACUCCUACGGGAGGCAGCAGUGGGGAAUAUUGCACAAUGGGCGCAAGCCUGAUGCAGCAACGCCGCGUGAGGGAUGACGGCCUUCGGGUUGUAAACCUCUUUUAGCAGGGAAGAAGCGAAAGUGACGGUACCUGCAGAAAAAGCGCCGGCUAACUACGUGCCAGCAGCCGCGGUAAUACGUAGGGCGCAAGCGUUAUCCGGAAUUAUUGGGCGUAAAGAGCUCGUAGGCGGUUUGUCGCGUCUGCUGUGAAAUCCGGAGGCUCAACCUCCGGCCUGCAGUGGGUACGGGCAGACUAGAGUGCGGUAGGGGAGAUUGGAAUUCCUGGUGUAGCGGUGGAAUGCGCAGAUAUCAGGAGGAACACCGAUGGCGAAGGCAGAUCUCUGGGCCGUAACUGACGCUGAGGAGCGAAAGGGUGGGGAGCAAACAGGCUUAGAUACCCUGGUAGUCCACCCCGUAAACGUUGGGAACUAGUUGUGGGGUCCAUUCCACGGAUUCCGUGACGCAGCUAACGCAUUAAGUUCCCCGCCUGGGGAGUACGGCCGCAAG